GAUGAACGCUGGCGGCGUGCCUAAUACAUGCAAGUCGAACGGACAGACGAGGCGCUUGCUCCUCUGACGUUUGCGGCGGACGGGUGAGUAACACGUGGAUAACCUACCUAUAAGACUGGGAUAACUUCGGGAAACCGGAGCUUAUACCGGAUAAUAUCUUGAAACGCAUUGUUCAAUAGUGAAAUACGGCUUUGCUGUCACUUAUAGAUGGAUCCGCGCCGCAUUAGCUAGUUGGUAAGGUAACGGGUUACCAAGGCAACGAUGCGUAGCCGACCUGAGAGGGUGAUCGGCCACACUGGAACUGAGACACGGUCCAGACUCCUACGGGAGGCAGCAGUAGGGAAUCUUCCGCAAUGGGCGAAAGCCUGACGGAGCAACGCCGCGUGAGUGAUGAAGGUCUUCGGAUCGUAAAACUCUGUUAUUAGGGAAGAACAAAUGUGUAAGUAACUAUGCACGUCUUGACGGUACCUAAUCAGAAAGCCACGGCUAACUACGUG
rnacentral:rRNA from 1 species